rnacentral:rRNA from 1 species
UGCGUAGGUGGCCGGGUAAGUUUGACGUGAAAUCUCCGGGCUUAACUCGGAAACUGCGUUGAAUACUAUCCGGCUGGAGGUUCGGAGGGGGGGACGUGGAAUUCUCGGUGUAGCAGUGAAAUGCGUAGAUAUCGAGAGGAACACCAGUGGCGAAGGCGAGUCCCUGGACGACACCUGACACUGAGGCACGAAAGCCGGGGGAGGCAAAACA